rnacentral:rRNA from 1 species
AUUGAACGCUGGCGGCAUGCCUUACACAUGCAAGUCGAACGAUGAACCGGGUGCUUGCACUCGGGGAUUAGCGGCGAACGGGUGAGUAACACGUGAGCAACCUGCCCCUGACUCUGGGAUAAGCGCUGGAAACGGCGUCUAAUACUGGAUAUGUCCCGUCACCGCAUGGUGUGCGGGUGGAAAGAAUUUUCGGUUGGGGAUGGGCUCGCGGCCUAUCAGCUUGUUGGUGAGGUAAUGGCUCACCAAGGCGUCGACGGGUAGCCGGCCUGAGAGGGUGACCGGCCACACUGGGACUGAGACACGGCCCAGACUCCUACGGGAGGCAGCAGUGGGGAAUAUUGCACAAUGGGCGGAAGCCUGAUGCAGCAACGCCGCGUGAGGGAUGACGGCCUUCGGGUUGUAAACCUCUUUUAGCAGGGAAGAAGCGAGAGUGACGGUACCUGCAGAAAAAGCACCGGCUAACUACGUGCCAGCCGCCGCGGUAA